UACAGAGGGUGCAAGCGUUAAUCGGAAUUACUGGGCGUAAAGCGUGCGUAGACGGUUGCGUAAGUCAGAUGUGAAAGCCCCGGGCUCAACCUGGGAAUUGCAUUUGAGACUGCGUAGCUAGGGUGCGGAAGAGGGAAGCGGAAUUUCCGGUGUAGCGGUGAAAUGCGUAGAUAUCGGAAGGAACACCAGUGGCGAAAGCGGCCUCCUGGUCCAGCACCGACGUUCAGGCACGAAAGCGUGGGGAGCAAACAGG
rnacentral:rRNA from 1 species